UACGUAGGGUGCAAGCGUUAAUCGGAAUUACUGGGCGUAAAGCGUGCGUAGGCGGUGAUGGAAGCCCGGUGUGAAAUCCCCGGGCUUAACCUGGGAACUGCAUUGGUGACUGCAUCGCUAGAGUAUGGCAGAGGGGGGUGGAAUUCCACGUGUAGCAGUGAAAUGCGUAGAGAUGUGGAGGAACACCGAUGGCGAAGGCAGCCCCCUGGGCCAAUACUGACGCUCAUGCACGAAAGCGUGGGGAGCAAACAGG
rnacentral:rRNA from 1 species